GAUUGAGUUUCUUCAUCCUAUUCAUCUCUAAACACGUGUAUUCCACUUUCAAUUUAUAUUUUUUUACUGCCACACUCCAAUAGUCCAUUCUAGAAACUAUUCUGAUCAUCAUCCUUCAAUUUGAUCUCUUUGAGAUGUUUUAAUUUGGUUCCAAGUUUUCUCGGCUAAUUUCUCUAUUUCUCAAUUAGUUUGAGUUUUCUGCUUUCUUUUCUUUGUUUAAUCACCACUGCUUCUUACAUGACUCACUUCUUAGUUUUACUGUUUUUAUAUAGCCCUCCAUUGAAUCUAUGGGUUCUGGUAAGGAUUUUUACUCUUUUUAUUUUUGCUGCAAGAUUUUUAGAAAUUGCAACAGUCUUUAUUUUGAGCCCUAAAUCCCUCCUUAAGAUGUUAAUGGAAACUUGUGCAAUUUGUGUCCCCUCAGAGGGCAUCCGAUUGAAAAGAAUAAAACUUGUGCAAUUGGUUAGUUUGGGAACAAGGUGUGGGUCUACUGUAUUUUCUGAUAUAGUAAGUUUUUUUCGAUUCUUUCUUUGAUUUUUGCCUUUGUUUCUUGGUAAUAAGAAUUUGGUGGAUAUUUGAUAGUUUUUCUAGAUUCUCUUGCAUAGGUUCUUGCUGGAUUUUGUACAUGCAUGUCACUACUGUUUCUUAUUUACAGAUGCAUGUUUGUAUAUAGAUGUCUAGGUGCAUGUUUGAGAUACAUAAUUGUUUCUAAUUUUAAUUGAGUAAGAUUGGUACUUUCAACUGGAGCCUAAGCUCCGUUCUUGAAGCAGUGUCAUUGGAUUUUACCAUCGCUCUCUUGGCAUGAUUAUUCUUUUUCUAUAUUCUUUAUGAAGCAAACAAAGAUAUUGAUGCAAUGGCAUUGGAAAAGAUAAGGUUACCCGUUUGUUGCAUUUGAUUACCUGUUACUUUUACUCUUCCUCUUCCAGUAAGGUUACCCGUUUGUUGCAUUUGAUUUGGUUUUCUUUCCCAUUAUCAGAUCUUUCAGUUCAAUUGGCUUCCAGUUACCGAUGCCUAUAAGCACUGAGCACCAAUUGACCGAGCACAAUCAUCCUCUAUUGUUACCUAUGUCUCUAUUUCUUGGCCAUUAGCUCUACUACUCUUUCCAAUAAGCUUCGACUUGCCUCAUUUUCUUUUGGCCUAUUGCUUGGUUGAUUCACUGAGUCUGCACAUGCAUGCUCUUAUAGCUGACCAUUUUUUUGUGAAUUUUAUUUUAGUGAUUUUUUCAUGUAACAUGAGAGACAGCAUUGCAAUGAUUAAAUUAUAUACAUGUUACAUAUGUUUUCUUUACAUGACACAGAAUACAUGUUUGGAGAAAAGUCACUGUUAGAAAGUCAAGCUUUCUUUGUAAGGUUCAGGAGUAAAAUCUCAGCUUUGUAUACCUUCUAAGUUUAAAGAUUGAGCUUUCAGGUUGCUUACAUUUCCCAAGAAUGACAGCUAAUUUGUAUAUGCAUCCUAGUUCAAAGGCUACAACUGUCCUGCAGGAGUUCAAAGACCUUGAGGUCAAAUUAAAUGAAUCAUGACAUAAUGGAUUUUCAGGUGCUUUCUAUUACGCUGCCAAAAUCCUCCAUAGAGACCACUCUCAUGGCAAUCAGCAAGAAUCAACUGAACACAUUUCUCAAUCCAUCAACUGAAAAUGGUAAUUCAAGAAGUCUAUUUUGCAAGCUUACAAUUUACUAUAAUACAUUUUGGGUAGCUUAUAGCCUUUGUUUCUAUGACUUAUCUUCAAGACUUCCUAACUUAGAUUGCGCACAUCCUUAAAUCUUAGCCUUCUCGGGUUUAAAGUUUCGAGCUAAUGUUAAAUUUAAGUAUUUAUGCUAACACAAUUUGAGUUCUAUUUUCGUCUGUUUUGAUAUAGAAUGAAGUAGUUAUGUCUAUAUAUGUUUGAGACCAAAUGCAAAAAGAUUUCAAGAAAUAUUAUAGACAUUGCAAAACAGAAAGACUUAAUCGUUCAAUGGCCAUGACUAUGUCCUUUCAUAGAUUGAGAAAGAUAAAUUUACUCUUUUUCAUCAAAUGAAUUGUCUCAAUGCAAAACCAAGUAAAUUUGCAUCUAAUGUUGUUGAAUCGUUGAUAAUGUGGAUUGGAAAAAUGAUGACAAUUUAAAAUUACAAAACUGUAACUUCGUUGCAAUCUUAAGGAGGCCAGACUAACGAAACAAGCUCUCUUACCAUGAUUAUGGCCUCUCAUGUUUAAAUUCAUUCUUUUACACUUCACAUAUUAUUUAGAAAAUGGUUCUACUCCAAAAAAUUUAGCAAGUUAAUAUAAACAGAGCUAAAAGAGGGGAUCGAAAAUAUGCUACAUUUGAUAUGCCUGCAAGUGGAAUACGGCAUGGUAGUAUAGGUGCACAAUAUCACAUUAUGAUUCAUUAUCAACACUGAUCUCCACUAUAUUAUAUUUUUCAUUAGUGGUUCUAAAUUUUUCACAGAAAGAAGAGUAAAAAAGGAUGCACCAACUGAUAAAUAAAAAAGGCAGAAAAUUUGAGUAGUUACAGUGUAGGAUCACCAUAUAGUGUAGGUGAAAAAGCAGAAAGUCAUCCUGUCCACUAGAAACCUGUUGCAAGUAUUGCUGAGCAAAAAAAACUCAGUUUGAGCCUCUACAUUAGUUCGUCAUGAUGACCAUGUUACAUAGAAUGUUGUUUAUUCUAAAGCCAUUUGGAAAAAAAAUGUUUAAAUAGUGACCUAAUAGAAAAACAUGCUUAAGAGAGACAAGACUGGGAUAUUAGUCGUUACUAACCCUCCCAUGAGUGCAGUUUUGAAUUGAGAAUUCAAGAUAUGUGAGUCGACUAGCUUUCAGCGGGCAAAAAAAUAGUCAUUUUCUAUUUCUACCAGUUUCUGGUUGCCAAUAUUAUAAUAUGUUAUUUAGUUCGAUUGGUAUUAGUUUUACUCACAUGAUCAAUUUUUGCAGUCAAUAUUAUGUUUGGAGACACUGAUGAGAAGUAUAUUUUUUUUGGCAAUUGAAUAAUUUGUCAGUUGCUAUAUUUCACUUGAUAAAUUUUACAUAUUUGUUGGUGUGGAUAAAUAUUCUAUCCAUCAUUUUUGUUAUUAUUUCUUCUAUUGGAUUAGCAUAAGCAUAUGAUAAGUUUCAUUUUAUGAUGCUUCUUGGUUUUUGCUGCUUGAAGAUGUUGACAUUAUAUUUGAGAAAAAUCAGUCACUUCACAGUAGUGAGCUGUCAGUAGUAACCCUUUGUUAGGGGAGAAGAAAAAAGCCAAUAUUAUACCCUGCUUCCUGUUGAGGCUUUGGCUGCAAAGCUACUCAGUAAUGGAAAGGAGAGAAAUAUCAUGCAAAAUUAAAUUUUUGUAGUGGAGAAGGAAAAUGGUGACUCUGUACCACUGUUGCUGCCUUUCUUCUUGCUGCUCUGUGUUUAUAGUUUCUGCCUUUGUAUGAAUAAUGAACUAAAAACGUUUUGUUAUAUUAUAAUUUUAUAUUUCGUAUAUAAACUGUCGGGGCAAUGUAACUACUCCCUGCCUCUCAAUUUAUGUGGCACCAUUUGGAUUUCGAGAGUAGUUUUACUUUGAUCAUGAUUUUCUCA